rnacentral:rRNA from 1 species
AUACGGAGGGUGCAAGCGUUACUCGGAAUCACUGGGCGUAAAGCGCGCGCAGGCGGCUAUUUAAGUUGGAUGUGAAAGCCUACGGCUCAACCGUAGAACUGCAUCCAAAACUAUUUAGCUAGAGUGUGGGAGAGGAAGAUGGAAUUAGUUGUGUAGGGGUAAAAUCCGUAGAGAUAACUAGGAAUACCAAAAGCGAAGGCAAUCUUCUGGAACACUACUGACGCUGAGGCGCGAAAGCGUGGGGAGCAAACGGGAUUAGAAGCCCUAGAGUCC